rnacentral:rRNA from 1 species
CCUGGCUCAGGAUGAACGCUAGCGGCAGGCUUAACACAUGCAAGUCGAGGGGCAUCGGGAGUAGCAAUACCUGCCGGCGACCGGCGCAAGGGUGCGUAACGCGUGAGCAACAUGCCCGUAUCAGGGGGAUAAUCCAUGGAAACGUGGUCUAAUACCCCAUAGUAAUUAUGUAAGGCAUCUUAUAUAAUUUAAAGCUUUGGUGGAUACGGAUUGGCUCGCGUGACAUUAGCUGGAUGGUAAGGUAACGGCUUACCAUGGCUACGAUGUCUAGGGGUUCUGAGAGGAAGGUCCCCCCACACUGGAACUGAGACACGGUCCAGACUCCUACGGGAGGCAGCAGUGAGGAAUAUUGGACAAUGGAUGGAAAUCUGAUCCAGCCAUGCCGCGUGCAGGAAAGACGGCCCUAUGGGUUGUAAACUGCUUUUGUAUGGGAGCAAUAAGGGCUACGUGUAGUCCGAUGAGAGUACCAUACGAAUAAGCACCGGCUAACUCCGUGCCAGCCGCAGC